rnacentral:lncRNA from 1 species
UUGCUGGCACGUUUGACCUAAAAUAUGCUGUUUGAAGGAAGCAGUGAUGAUAAGAUAUAAAUUGAACCACAUCCAGCACAAGGCACCUGAACUAUCUUUCCUGCUGCAUGACAUACAGAAGAUGUAUAACGCAAAUCUGUAAAAAUAUUUGCACUUUUACCAUCAGCUAGAAGACAUGCUUGCUUCAAAUUCACUAACUCUGCCCCUUGAGCACUAAGGUUAUUAGGGUCAUAUCGCCCCCUCAAAUCUGACUGUGACCAUUCCCAGGAUGUUGAGCCAUUAAAAAGAGUUUCCAGGGAUCUGUGCCAGUCUUUUUUUUUUUAACUCUUAUUUUCUCUCUCAGAAUGGGUACUAAGUAUUGGUUCUAAGGCAGAUGAGCCAUAAGGGCUAAGCAAUUGGAAAUAAGUGACUUGCCCAGGGUCACACAGCUAUGAAGUGUCUGAGAGAAGAUUUUAAUCCAGGACCUCCUAGCUCCAGGCUUGUCUUUCUAUUCACUGAGCUACCUAGCUGUCCCACAUAUCAUUCUUUUUUAGAAUGAAUAAAAGGAAUGAAGAACUGAGGGAACUUGUAGAAGAAGAAACAUCUUUUCUGGAAAAAUGUCAGUUAUUUCCCCAGGCCUGUGGCCCAUGCCUCCAAACCCAUUUGAGUAUCAGUAUAAUUCUUGAGGGCAAUUUGGUGUCCUUUGGAUUAGUUAGUCUUGUCAUCUAUAGAUCAUACCAGGUCUCCAUCUCUCCAUGUCUUGUCAUUACAGACAUUUUGGGACUUGCAUUUUGUCUUUUGGGACUACAAGAAAGAAGUGGAAAACACAGGACCUAUGAUUGAUUUCAUGAGGAGAUCUCCAGUGAAACAGCUGUAUUGUUCUUUAAUUAAUAAUCUUGGACAGUUGGCUAGGGUAACUGAGAGGUUAAAUGAUUUGUCUAGGGUUCCAUAGCUGGUAUAUGUGUAACAGCGAGGUCUGAGGCUGGAUUUGAACCCAGGUCUUCUUGAUUCCUAGACCAGUUCUCUACUACACCAUGUUGCCACUCCCUAUUCUUCUUUUAGAUCUCAAUUGUCCUUUCCUGAGAGAGAAAUUUUCUCUUACAUUCUAUAGUCAUUUCCCCAAACAUCUACUUUGUUUUUAAUUCUCUGAAACCAUUAAAAAAAAAAAGCUGCUGUGAAUAUUUUGGUGUAAAUGGGACUUCUGCCUUUGACUUUCUAGUUUUAUGUAGACUUAAUACUAGGCUUUCCAAAUCAAAGGAUAUGAAUGUUUUCGUCAUUUUCUUAGUAUAAUUCCAAAUUGCUUUCCAGAAUAGAUGGGCCAAUUCACAGUUCCACCUACAGUGUACUAGAGAAUUAGUCACAGUCCUUUCAACACUGACUAUUCUCAUCUUUUGCCAUCUUUGCUAAUUUGCUAGAUAUGACGUAAAAUCUCCAACUAGUUUUCUUUGCCCUUCUCUUAUUAUAAAUGAUUUGGAAUAAUCUGUCAUAUGGUUAGUAGUUUGUAAUUCUGUUUUGUGAACUAUUUGUUUAUAUCCUUUCCUUAUCCACUGAAGAAUGUCUCUUGGUCCUUCCUUGUUGGGACAAUUUAUUGAUCGAAAGGAACAGAAGAAAAAAAAAAGAUAAUUGUUUAGGAAACAGUGAAAAAUCAACCACACCCCCAAAAAGACUCCUCCUAGAAUAAAAAUGGCCAAAGUGUACUGUUUCA